rnacentral:rRNA from 1 species
AUUGAACGCUGGCGGCAUGCCUUACACAUGCAAGUCGAACGGUAACAGGUCUUCGGAUGCUGACGAGUGGCGAACGGGUGAGUAAUACAUCGGAACGUGCCUAGUAGUGGGGGAUAACUACUCGAAAGAGUGGCUAAUACCGCAUGAGAUCUACGGAUGAAAGCAGGGGAUCGCAAGAACUUGUGCUACUAGAGCGGCCGAUGGCAGAUUAGGUAGUUGGUGGGAUAAAAGCUUACCAAGCCGACGAUCUGUAGCUGGUCUGAGAGGACGAUCAGCCACACUGGGACUGAGACACGGCCCAGACUCCUACGGGAGGCAGCAGUGGGGAAUUUUGGACAAUGGGCGCAAGCCUGAUCCAGCAAUGCCGCGUGCAGGAUGAAGGCCUUCGGGUUGUAAACUGCUUUUGUACGGAACGAAAAGCCCUGGGUUAAUACCCUGGGGUCAUGACGGUACCGUAAGAAUAAGCACCGGCUAACUACGUGCCAGCCGCCGCGGUAAUAC